rnacentral:rRNA from 1 species
AUUGAACGCUGGCGGCAUGCCUUACACAUGCAAGUCGAACGGUAACAGGUCUUCGGAUGCUGACGAGUGGCGAACGGGUGAGUAAUACAUCGGAACGUGCCUAGUAGUGGGGGAUAACUACUCGAAAGAGUGGCUAAUACCGCAUGAGAUCUACGGAUGAAAGCAGGGGAUCGCAAGACCUUGUGCUACUAGAGCGGCCGAUGGCAGAUUAGGUAGUUGGUGGGAUAAAAGCUUACCAAGCCGACGAUCUGUAGCUGGUCUGAGAGGACGAUCAGCCACACGGGGACUGAGACACGGCCCAGACUCGUACGGGAGGCAGCAGUGGGGAAUUGUGGACAAUGGGCGCAAGCCUGAUCCAGCAAGGCCGCGUGCAGGAUGAAGGCCUUCGGGUUGUAAACUGCUUUUGUACGGAACGAAAAGCCCUGGGUUAAUACCCUGGGGUCAUGACGGUACCGUAAGAAUAAGCACCGGCUAACUACGUGCCAGCCGCCGCCGUAACAC